AAGUAAUGAAGUAAAAUAUUACGUUUAGUUUCGACCUAAAAAUAAGAAUAAUCAGUUCCUUACUUA
rnacentral:tRNA from 1 species